UACGUAGGGCGCAAGCGUUGUCCGGAAUUAUUGGGCGUAAAGAGCUCGUAGGCGGUUUGUCGCGUCUGCUGUGAAAACCUAAGGCUCAACCUUGGGCUUGCAGUGGGUACGGGCAGACUAGAGUGCGGUAGGGGUGACUGGAAUUCCUGGUGUAGCGGUGGAAUGCGCAGAUAUCAGGAGGAACACCGUUGGCGAAGGCAGGUCACUGGGCCGCAACUGACGCUGAGGAGCGAAAGCAUGGGGAGCGAACAGG
rnacentral:rRNA from 1 species